GUCACGUUUGAGGACGCUGGUUUUUACACCUGCAGACAGUUUAUAUCAGGAGAACAAGGAUCAGACUCGACUGUUCAUCUGUCUGUUUUAACAAGUUUUCCAUAUUUGAUUCGCUGCAUCAUUGUGUGUGUGGGUUUAGUAGCUCAGGUCAUAUCUGUUGUUGGAGUCAAAAUGUGGACAAAAACUAAAGGAAACAACACACAGAUGGAAGAAAACACAAUGAGUUUAAGGAACGAUUACAGUUAUGACUUUAGAGAACAAAGUCUGUGUUUAUAAUAUUUAUUUAUUAUUAUCUAUGUGUAAACCAAAGAUGGAG